CCUACGGGUGGCAGCAGUGGGGAAUAUUGCACAAUGGGCGAAAGCCUGAUGCAGCAACGCCGCGUGAGCGAUGAAGGCCUUCGGGUCGUAAAGCUCUGUUCUCAAGGAAGAUAAUGACGGUACGUGAGGAGUAAGCCCCGGCAAACUACGUGCCAGCAGCCGCGGUAAUACGUAGGGGGCUAGCGUUAUCCGGAGUUACUGGGCGUAAAGGGUGCGUAGGUGGUUUCUUAAGUCAGAGGUGAAAUGCUGUGGCUCAACCGUAGUAAGCCUUUGAAACUGGGAAACUUGAGUGCAGGAGAGGUGAGUGGAAUUCCUGGUGUAGCGGUGAAAUGCGUAGAUAUUAGGAAGAACACCAGUGGCGAAGGCAGCUCUCUGGACUGUAACUGACACUGAGGCACGAAAGCGUGGGGAGCAAACAGGAUUAGAUACCCGAGUAGUC
rnacentral:rRNA from 1 species